rnacentral:lncRNA from 7 species
GCGCCUACAUCUCCAAUGUUGUCUGCACUAGAAACCUAGAGCUAAGAGUGACAAUGGCAUGGCUCUCUUGGUCCCUCUCUCCCUUGAAGGCUCUCUCUGGUAAAUAUGGUUGCCUUUCACAAUGAACUUCCAUCAGAUCUUUGUGAGAGAGCCUUCAGGAGGGGGGGGGGAUCCAGGUGAGCCAUAGUGCCUGACUGCCUGUGCCCAGCAGCCAAGAUGUGUACUGUUUAGCCAUUUUGUGUAUUUGAUUAAUUGUUUGUUUCUAUGAGAACUUGGUUAAUCAUGUGUUGUAUUGAUUGUUCACAAAUGAAAUUAGCUUUUCUCAAUCAGCAUCGGUCACCGGAUGUAUGAGAAAUGGAUAGCGGGUAAGGAAAAGAGCGCUCUAAGGAAAAUAGGGGGUAAGUUGCCAAGUUUUUCUUGGAGCUCUCAGGGUCUCACCACAACUGAGAGGUGCACGUGCACAAGAAAAGGAGCUGGAUGAGUUUUCUGGGUCUUGGAUUACAGAAAUGGAUGAGAUGUUCUCCUUGUCUUGGGCUUCAAACCAUUCCUAAGUAAAAAUAUUUUGACGGGGCGUUUGGAUCCCUUCAUUUUAGAGAAAUUUGAAUUCACUCAAUAAAGUAACUUAUUUAGUUU